GUGUCAGCCGCCGCGGUAAUACGUAGGUGGCAAGCGUUAUCCGGAAUUAUUGGGCGUAAAGCGCGCGCAGGUGGUUUCUUAAGUCUGAUGUGAAAGCCCACGGCUCAACCGUGGAGGGUCAUUGGAAACUGGGAGACUUGAGUGCAGAAGAGGAAAGUGGAAUUCCAUGUGUAGCGGUGAAAUGCGUAGAGAUAUGGAGGAACACCAGUGGCGAAGGCGACUUUCUGGUCUGUAACUGACACUGAGGCGCGAAAGCGUGGGGGGCAAAC
rnacentral:rRNA from 1 species